GACGAACGCUGGCGGCGUGCUUAACACAUGCAAGUCGAACGGUGAAGGGAUCAGCUUGCUGGUUCUGGAUGAGUGGCGAACGGGUGAGUAACACGUGAGUAACCUGCCCCCUUCUUCUGGAUAACCGCAUGAAAGUGUGGCUAAUACGGGAUAUUCUGGGUCUGUCGCAUGAUGGGUCUGGGAAAGAUAUUGUUUCGGUGGGGGAUGGGCUCGCGGCCUAUCAGCUUGUUGGUGGGGUGAUGGCCUACCAAGGCGGUGACGGGUAGCCGGCCUGAGAGGGUGGACGGUCACACUGGGACUGAGACACGGCCCAGACUCCUACGGGAGGCAGCAGUGGGGAAUAUUGCACAAUGGGCGCAAGCCUGAUGCAGCGACGCCGCGUGAGGGAGGGAGGCCUUCGGGUUGUAGGCCUCUUUCGCCAGUGAAGCAGGCCUGCUCCUUGUGGGUGGGUUGACGGUAGCUGGAUAAGAAGCGCCGGCUAACUACGUG
rnacentral:rRNA from 1 species